UCAACGCAUCUUACUGGAAAACCGAGGGAACAUCGGGGACAUGUAGGUUCUUUCGUUAACGAGUAUCCAUGUUCUUUGUUUCACUUGUGGCAAGGGUGAUGGUAAGGAGUAUACUAGAGGCGGAAUUCAGAAAUGGAUGUGCGAAUAAAGGCGUGAAAUUGUGAUAGCAACAAAGUAUGCUAGUGGUUUUGAUAACUUUUUUAUUGCACCCGAAGCUCAGUUCAAGUACAACAGGUCCAUGGCCCUGUUGACACAAAGGAGACGGGAUCAAUUAUGUGCAGUAUCAUUUCUUUAUGAUUUGUGAACCAAGAUUCAAGUUGGACCGAUGUGAAAUAGAAUCGGGAAGGAGUAGAGGAAUACUCUAUUGCGGAUAUUGAUGGUAUUCGUGAAGAUUG
rnacentral:lncRNA from 1 species